AACCAGUGCGAACCGGAAUCAAAUCGGACCAGUUAGCUUUGUACCGGCAGCAAGUCGCCUCCUCCUCCUUCCUCUAAGCUACCUCGACUGAUCUCAUAGCCGGCACUGCCAGAGAAAGAGCAGCGGGCCAAUGUUGCCGCCGCGAUUUUCCAUUUUUGGUGGCGGCGAUACCAAGCAAGGCCUGAAGAGCCGACUCCCGGCGCCGUUCCUGAAUCUCCGCACUGACAGAGAGGUCUACCGGCCCGGCGACCAAGUCACUGCCACCGUCGAGAUCUCCUGUCCUAGCAUCCUCGAUCCCGCCGUCCUCCAGAGUGCCGGUGCCUGUUCCCUUUUGAUCAAGCGGCUCGGCUUCGAGAUCAAAGGGAUCGAGAAAUUGGACUGCCAAUGGUUCGCCACUCAGAAGCCCUCUCCCGACUCCAAACAGCGGAGAGGGGAAUAUGUUUUCAUGGACGGCGCCGCACCUCACGUAAUUUCAAAUCUGAUUGUCUCCCCUGGCUCCGUAAAAACUUAUGUGGUACGAACAGUUCUGCCAAGCAUUUUACCACCAUCAUAUAAGGGUGCUACAAUUCGUUAUCUCUACUAUGUCAGGACUGUGUUGUCAGGACAGUGGCAAAUACUUGAUAAAAGCUACUCGCAAAGAGAUUCGUCAAAAGAUCUCACUGAAGUGGAAGCUCGUGUUCCUUUGCAAGUUUGGGUCAAUCAAAAGAACAGUGGCUUGCUUUUGGAAGAUGGCCAAGGUGAUGGAAUUGUACCUUCAACAACCAUUCAACUGGAUAUGUAUUGGAAAGAGAUGGAUGGAGAAUCUGAUUGGGUAAGAGCCAGUGACGUAUAUGAUGUAGUUGAAGAAGGGUAUGAUAGCUCGAAGGAUGAAAUCGCUUCUGUUUCUUCUUAUAAUCCUGCUAAAGAAAGUAUGUACAGAUCUUUUGGGAGUUCAUUGUCCUUGCAAUCGUCCCCUGCAAGAUCUUCAAGUAGGGAUUUGUUGCAUUUAGAAGGACAGAGGAGCAGUCUUUCAAAUUUAGCACUUCCACGUCUAUCCAUAACUGAGGUCUUCGACAAUAGUAAUGCUGAUGAAUCAUCCCAGAAGUCUCCAAUCGUCUCUCCGAGCCAGCAGCAGAGACUUGUUAAAUCUUCUUCCUUGGAAAGCGAUGAAGGAGUUUCAUCUGUAGCUGCGGAAAACUUCAUUCGGGGCAGAUCGUACAAUAUCCGGUUGGAUGACCAAGUUUUGCUCAGAUUUUCCCCCAAAAAUUCUGACUCAACUUAUUAUUUCAGCGAUAUGAUAGGUGGAACUCUAACCUUUUUCCAUGAAGAAAGAGCUCGGAGGUGCCUUGAGGUUUUAAUUACGCUGGAGACUUCAGAGACCAUAAAUAGGCGAUUUGUCCAUCCUUCUAGAAGAAAUUCACCUACAAUCACUAAGAUCUGGUGCAGACCAGCUUCCAGUUUUCCAUUCCCAUGGAUGGGCCCAUGUCCUUUUCUACCUCCCGCAUCUCCGUUCAGUGGUCUCUCCGCUUUGAAUUUUAUACUACUCCGAAAAAUGUUGACUGGACCAGAUAUGAGCAUCCGCUUCUAGUCGAGGGAAGAGACAAAUGUGAGUGGGUUCUUCCAAUCACUGUCCACGCCCCUCCUUCUCGGUCUCCAGCUGCUCAAUCCCGGAGCGAGAAGCAAUUCUCUUUGGAACCCUUGUGGGUCCGUACUUGAAGGUUGUUGAUUGUUUGAUUGAAUGUUGAAACCGGACCUGACUGGGAUAACCCAAGACGACUCCUCCUGAGAAAAAAAGAGGUGGGAAUGGAAAGCCUUCACUGUGAAACGAGAAGGGCAGAGUGAUCUCACACAUUUUGCGAUUCUUGUGAUCCAAUUUUUUGGUAGGAACUCAUGAUUACAUAAAAUGUAUUUAAGAGAUAUGUUGCUGGCGAACUUUAGCUUUCGACAAUCGGGGACCAGCUGUUAAAGAUGCACGCCGCAGACUAAAUCGCAUAGCUGAGAUGGAGGAUGUAAAUAAUAUCAAGCAAAUUUCUUGCGCCAUGUAGUGUAUUCUACCAUUCAAUUUGAAUAAUUAUUUUUAUGGACCAUCAUAAAUAUAGCUUCUGGUAGCAUCCGGCAGAAAGGAGGCAUCCAUUGGUUG